rnacentral:lncRNA from 1 species
AGAGGACUCAUAAUCAAGGGCAAUAAACUAGAUCCAUAGCAGUUUAAUGGUUCAAAGGGAUGGGAGCUGUUUAUGUCAGUCCUGUCACUUCUUGAAAAUGGAUAAGGCUCCAAAAAAGAAGAGAAGAGCGGGUAUAGCGCUUCCUGGUUUCCAUGAGAUGGCAUUCAGUGCUGGGGGUUGGGUUUGGAGACACAGAAGCGGGACAGUUCAGCAUCACCCACGCGGCGCUCGCUGCAUGGAUGAACAAAGCAGCUGCUGA